ensembl:lncRNA
CAGCAGGUGGAUGAGAGAAAGGGGAGGCAAGAGGAGAGACCCGAAGCGGCCGCCGGUCCGAGUGUCAGGUGAACUGAACUUCAGGGUGUCAAAUGCUGCCACUCUGUGAAGCCGCUCGCUUCUCACAGAUUCACACAAGAUACCCUUUGGCAUCAGCACAGCAACACACUGGAUUGUGGCAACGGUGGCUCCUACGGGGACGUCUUUCUUUCCCAACACUUGCCCAGUGUUUUCCUGUUCCAGUCUUUAUUGUUAGGGAUCCUCUGAGAGAUGCAUACCACAUCAAAAACAGACAGCAACAAAGGCAUUGAUGUAUUUCAUUUUGUUGCAUGAUUAUGGACAGUUUGGGAAUUAGAAG